CGAGGGCAAGAGCCGGAAACUCCUGGCUGCCGUCGAUGCGAAAGCAAGCAACGCUUGCAUGUCGCCAGACGUUGUAAGAAUGGGGGAGCCUUGGGUAAGCUUUCCAUUUAGGACGGCAUGCAGCCUGAAGGCGAUUGUGGCAGUUCUCUUGUGUACAUAUAUAUAGAACGACGCCGACGAAGCCAGUGGCAAAAGAGGCGCUCCUCUCAACGCAUGCGCUCCACAGUUUACGAUUGAAGUUCGCUAUAGUGCUGCUGCUGCUGACCACAGUCGUCAUGAAGUUCCUCCUGUACCUAAGCAUCAUCGCAGUGGGCCUUGUGUGCAUCUCAGCACAGUUCUUUGGUGGCCCAGGUCCCGUUCGCGGUGGACGCGACCGACAUAUACUGCGCUCUGAAAGGCACGCAAUCCUGCCCGGGCGCAGUGGGUACAAUGGCUAAUGGCUCAGACGAUGCAAACAGUUUGCCAUGCCGGACAGCUAGGGAAGACAUAGGAAAGUUCAUUGGCUGCCCCUGAAAGCGCCCAAUAAAUUAUUUUUGAUGCCGACACCAAGGCCGGUUGAGGUUGUCUUA